CACAACCCUUGAGAGUCCAAGCAAUGCCCCAAAAGACCCAGGCCUCUGCCUGGGUGUCAACUCGUCAAUGUGCCAUUUCUGCAAAAAGGAAAAUGGACCUGCUGUUUCUUGCUGUUAUUGUCUGAAAAGUCAGUGCCCAGAUGCCAAGCCCAGAGCCUUGCUGUGCACUCGGGAAACCGUUAUUGCCAGCCUCUGCAGACCCUCAGGAAUGAGCUCUGCUUGCAACAGCCUUCUCCUGGCAAGAGUUAACACUAAGGUGCAGCUGAAGGAAUGUGAAGACUGGAGAGCCAGUUUGGGGGAUUGCUAUUGCAAUCAGAAGACAGCCCAAGUCAGAGUUCCAAAGCCCUUUGAAGGGAUGCCAGCUCAGACACAUGUUUCCAAUUAUCAUAUGCAAUCUCGAGACAGUGUGCAAGUUGCACUUUCAUUAUGUCAAAGUGAAAGGAAUGGUGGGGGCGAGAUAAAGGGGAGAGGCCGCUAAGCUGGAGGCUGCACUUAGCUGUGGCACCAAACGUUAGCCAAGGCGCCGGGCUGGCCUCUCCAACCCAAGUCUCCCCCUGGAGCCAGGGGUGCAUGCCUCUGAAAAUUACCCAGAUGUGUCACAUGCCUCAGGGAGGACCCUGUUUUCAACUGAGACCAUUAACGCAUUUAUGGCUAACACAAGGACAUUGAUUGCCUGCCACAUGCAAGAUUGGGUCCAGGUGCUGAAGAAACACAGAUGUGCUGCAUCCUUGACUUUAAGGAGCAUCCCUGGGUUGGAGGGAUUCUCUGCAGGCUGCUGUGGUGGAGGGAAGAUUUGCCCAACUUACUCUUGGCGCUGGACCCCCUGAGCCAUCUUCACACACCCAGGUGAACUUUGGGAAGGUAACAGCUUUUCAGUUGCAAACCCAAGUGAAUUAGAGCAAAACAGAUCCCACGUGCUUGACACAUGGAAACUUUCAGAGCCAAUGGUUUAUAAACUUACCAAGAGCUGGGGGAGUAAACACAUCCCAGGGAACUGUGGAGCACUUCUCUGGCAUUGAUACACAUAAGCAGAAAGCACAGCCUUCCCCGACACUUGCCUUAAGAUAGUCUUUUGUCUUAGAACCCAGAGGCUUACCUGAGCUAAACCACAUAAAGUGCUUAGUGCGAUGCCUUGAACAUACCAAGCUCUUAAUAAACGCUAAGGUCACUAUUAGCAUUGCUUGUCAUGGAAUAAACCUAGGAUACAUCUAUAAAACUGUCCAUAAUCUUCCUUGCCUUGUGGAAAGUUGUUCCACUAUUCCAACAUCCUUUUAGGGGUUCUCAGCUAAUCUACCUUUCAAAACGAAAAUUUAUUAUACACUUCUUAAGUGCUAGGUAGUUUUGUAUAUUUAUGUGUAUUAUCUCAUUAAAUGAUCUCUCAGCCCUCUGAGAAAAGCACUAUUAUCAUCCAUAUUUCACAGAUGAAGAAAUCGUCAGAGUUUCCAUAUAUCAUUGUCAGAGAUGUUAAGCAACUUGCUUAAGGUUACACAGCCUUAGCAGAAGUACUUGUUUGACUCCAAAGCCUACCAUUAUGCUGGAAUCACUAGAAUCCAGGUGGCCUAUCUGAACCCGGAUUCAGGCAUCUGAAGCUGAAUAGCUGCCAUUCUUGCUUUUAACCUCCUGGUAAAAGCAGGCUAUGCCUGAUCUAUCUAUCUAUCUAUCUAUCUAUCUAUCUAUCUAUCUAUCUAUCUAUCAAUCAUCUAU
rnacentral:lncRNA from 1 species